UACGGGGGGGGCAAGCGUUGUUCGGAAUUACUGGGCGUAAAGGGCUCGUAGGUGGCCAACUAAGUCAGACGUGAAAUCCCUCGGCUUAACCGGGGAACUGCGUCUGAUACUGGAUGGCUUGAGGUUGGGAGAGGGAUGCGGAAUUCCAGGUGUAGCGGUGAAAUGCGUAGAUAUCUGGAAGAACACCGGUGGCGAAGGCGGCAUCCUGGACCAAUUCUGACGCUGAGGAGCGAAAGCCAGGGGAGCAAACGGG
rnacentral:rRNA from 1 species